UCCUACUCGUGUGAGUUUCGUACGUAGUUCGGUUCUGUUGGUGGCGAACUAUAAUAAACGGUGGUCGUCCUCGUCUCCUUGCUGUAGCCAUUUUCGGCGAUUCAAAGCGCAAAACCAUCGCAAUCCUUUCAGAUUUCGUGUUCUGAUCUGCAAUUUCGAGUUGUGGAAGAUAUGAAUUGGGUUCAGCGCAAGAUUUACCUUUACAAUGUGACUUUUGGGCUUUAUAUGUUGGAUUGGUGGGAGCGUUGUACUUUCAGUAUCCUUUAUUGCACUCUCUUCUUCAUGGAUUUUAACUCCUUUAUGUGUCUUUUACUUUGUAUUAUCCUGAAAUGCAAAAUUUUGAUCGUUUCUAUAUAUUUAUGUGCGGGUUUUCUUUAAAUUGUGAAACUGAAAUUCAUUAAUUGUUGGGAACUAAGGUAGUCUGAACAGUAGUGAUUUAGGUAUACUCUGGUUUGAAAGACAAUUGAAACCAUAUUAGAGAAUUUUGACAAAAAUGCCAAAGAAUUUCUUGAAUACAUAUGCUAUCAUGUCUGUUUUGAUACUGCUUGGAAGAGUUCCUAAACUUUUGCAGAUAUUUUGGUGAUUGUGUUAAUGUGGUUUGUAAUACGAUAUGUUACUCAAUUCUUCAAGAGGUAUGUUUGGUAAGAAGCAAAACGAUUCUCAGGGGAAGAUACCAAUUUAGAUUGUUAUUUGGGGAUCUAAAUUAGUUGCAGCCGGUGUAUUUGGUAUAGCUGACUAGGGAAUAUCUUUUAGCAGUUUGAUUUAGACUGACUUGGAAUUUCUUUAAGCUACCCAAAAUUGCUCUUCUCACACAUUCUAUACACCGUCAUAACUCUUAUUUGAACAUUUCUUUGCUUAUAAGUUUGUAUGGGAUGCCAAUUGCCAUUCUUUACAUUGUAAUAAUUAUUGGGAUUGGGAAUGUUCACUACUAAGCGUUUUGAUUUUUGAACAGUUUCAAGCGUUAAUGAACUAGCUUCAAUG